ACCUGACUUUAUUCAUUCUGUUAAUGACCAACCAACUACUUCAGAGGAAACAAAUGGCCAUUGAUGUCCUUCACCCCGGGAAGGCAACAGUGCCUAAGACAGAAAUUUGGGAAAAACCAGCCAAAAUGUACAAGGCCACACUGGAUGCCAUCUUUGUAUUUGGAUUCAGAACUCAUUUUGGUGUUGGCAAGACAACUGGCUUUGGCAUGAUUUAUGAUUCCCUGGAUUAUGCAAAGAAAAAGGAACCCAAACAUAGACUUGCAAGACAUGGCCUGUAUGAGAA